UCGAGCGGUAACAGACAUUUUUGAUUCAGCUUGCUGAAUCUUGUGCUGACGAGCGGCGAACGGGUGAGUAACGCGUAGGAAUCUGCCCAGUAGCGGGGGAUAGCCCGAGGAAACUCGGAUUAAUACCGCAUACGCCCUAAGGGGGGAAGAAGGCCUCUCCUUGGAAGCUUUCACUAUUGGAUGAGCCUGCGUAAGAUUAGUUUGUUGGUGAGGUAAUGGCUCACCAAGGCGACGAUCUUUAGCUGGUCUGAGAGGACGACCAGCCACAUUGGGACUGAGACACGGCCCAGACUCCUACGGGAGGCAGCAGUAAAGAAUCUUGGACAAUGGGGGAAACCCUGAUCCAGCCAUACCGCGUGUGUGAAGAAGGCCUUAGGGUUGUAAAGCACUUUAAGCAACCAGGAAGAAAAGUAAGUUAAUACCUUAUUUUUUUGACAUUAAUUGCAGAAUAAGUACCGGCUAACUCCGUGCCAGCAGCCGCGGUAAUACGGAGGGUACAAGCGUUAAUCGGAAUUACUGGGCGUAAAGCGCGCGUAGGCGGCUAAGCAAGUUGGGUGUGAAAGCCCAGGGCUCAACCCUGGAACUGCAUUCAAAACUAUUUAGCUAGAGUACGAGAGAGGAGAGUAGAAUUUCUGGUGUAGCGGUGAAAUGCGUAGAUAUCAGAAGGAAUACCAAUGGCGAAGGCAGCUCUCUGGAUCGUCACUGACGCUAAGGUGCGAAAGCGUGGGUAGCAAACAGGAUUAGAUACCCUGGUAGUCCACGCCGUAAACGAUGAGAACUAGCCGUUGGGAGGGAUUAACCUUUCAGUGGCGCAGCUAA
rnacentral:rRNA from 1 species